AGUGUAGUCUUUCCGCUCGGUUGCUUCCCGGACGUUGUAGUCCGUUUGCCUUCAACCGAAAGUCAACUCGCUAGGACUACAAUUAUUAUCGUCCUAGUGCCAGUCAAGUAGCUGUUAAUCUGACUGCAUCAAUAGGCUACGUCGAAUAACGUCGAAAACUGCGUCCAAAGUGUUAUUGCAUUCGAUUUGGAGAUGGAAGAUGUGGAUGAAGCUCACCAAAGGUUGCAGAAAGGUCCACAGGUUGCGUAGGCCUCUUGCUGUCCUGGGCUACACGAGUACACAGCUCGGGGUAAUCCAGACAAACGGCACGCAGCAACCAGCGAAGGCCUCGUAGAGUCUUUCUGUCCGACCAGCGUCGCAGGUCCAUUAAGGCUGAACAAGGCUCCUGAGAGGGAAAGGAAAAAGAGUCCACCACAAAGAUGAUCCCAUGGGCUUCUCCACAGAGCUCCCUCCAGGCUCCUCUCGACUCUGCUGAGCCCCCCACAUCCAACAAGGUGACCAGGUAGUUCUCCACUCUCAGCUCAUGUCGUACACAGCCAUUGGUGGGUCCUGCUUCCACACCAUUGGGGACUAAAAAAAGGACAGGAAGUAAAACACAGGUAGAUAAUUUGUUGUAUUUCAGCUUUAAGCACUU